CAGCCUGUAAUUUUCUUUCAAGCACACAACAGGAAUUUUUCACUUUUGCUGGAAUGGAUUUUUUGGGGAAAAGUUGAAAUAUGUUUUCAAUGGUUGGCAUUGGUUGAAUGAUAAAACACUUUUCCAUUUCUUUGAUUUUGUGCAAGCGCUGGAAUAAUGGGAGUUGCCUUUUAUUUUUUUUUCUUUUUAUUUAAUGCAAGUUACAUUUAAUGCUUUGAAGAAUUAAUUUCAUUUGAAGAUGGAUUGUGGUUACGGGUUGGAAGGGACGUGAGAGUUUUCUUUUUCUUUUUCUUUGUGUUUUCAAUGAAUGAAAGUUUGGUUAGGUGGGAGGCAAGAUGAUAGGACUCUUGGCAGCAGAAUGGGUGUAGCUUUUUUUUCUUUUAUUUAUUUUGGAAUGAAGAAAUAGUGAUUAGAUGGAACUAGGUAGAUGGUGUACGGUGGUUAAAUUUGAGAUAAGUUUUUUUUUUCAUAUCAAGAUAGCACUAUCACGCACCUUAAUUUACUUU
rnacentral:lncRNA from 1 species